UAGCCUAGUGGUUAGAGUGUAGAGGAGGCAGGUAGCCUAGUGGUUAGAGUGUAGAGGAGGCAGGUAGCCUAGUGGUUAGAGUGUAGAGGAGGCAGGUAGCCUAGUGGUUAGAGUGUAGAGCUGGCAGCCUAGUGGUUAGAGUGUAGAGGCAGGCAGCCUAGUGGUUAGAGUGUAGAGGCAGGCAGCCUAGUGGUUAGAGUGUAGAGGGGGCAGGGUAGCCUAGUGGUUAGAGGGUAGAGGCAGGUAGCCUAGUGGUUAGAGUGUAGAGGCAGCAGGUAGCCUAGUGGUUAGAGUGUAGAGGUGGCAGGUAGCCUAGUGGUUAGAGUGUAGAGGAGGCAGGUAGCCUAGUGGUUAGAGUGUAGAGGAGGCAGGUAGCCCAGUGGUUAGAGUGUAGAGCUGGCAG
ensembl:lncRNA